UAGGGAAUCUUCGGCAAUGGACGGAAGUCUGACCGAGCAACGCCGCGUGAGUGAAGAAGGUUUUCGGAUCGUAAAGCUCUGUUGUUAGAGAAGAACGUUGGUAGGAGUGGAAAAUCUACCAAGUGACGGUAACUAACCAGAAAGGGACGGCUAACUACGUGCCAGCAGCCGCGGUAAUACGUAGGUCCCGAGCGUUGUCCGGAUUUAUUGGGCGUAAAGCGAGCGCAGGCGGUUCUUUAAGUCUGAAGUUAAAGGCAGUGGCUUAACCAUUGUACGCUUUGGAAACUGGAGGACUUGAGUGCAGAAGGGGAGAGUGGAAUUCCAUGUGUAGCAGUGAAAUGCGUAGAUAUAUGGAGGAACACCGGUGGCGAAAGCGGCUCUCUGGUCUGUAACUGACGAUGAGGCUCGAAAGCGUGGGGAGCAAACAGG
rnacentral:rRNA from 1 species